rnacentral:rRNA from 1 species
GGCCGGGUGUGUAAGCGCAGCGAUGCGUUGAGCUAACCGGUACUAAUGAACCGUGAGGCUUAACCUUACAACGCCGAAGCUGUUUUG